GAUGAACGCUGGCGGCGUGCUUAACACAUGCAAGUCGAGCGAAGCAGUUAAGAAGAUUCUUCGGAUGAUUCUUAACUGACUGAGCGGCGGACGGGUGAGUAACGCGUGGGUGACCUGCCCCAUACCGGGGGAUAACAGCUGGAAACGGCUGCUAAUACCGCAUAAGCGCACAGAGCUGCAUGGCUCGGUGUGAAAAACUCCGGUGGUAUGGGAUGGGCCCGCGUCUGAUUAGGCAGUUGGCGGGGUAACGGCCCACCAAACCGACGAUCAGUAGCCGGCCUGAGAGGGCGACCGGCCACAUUGGGACUGAGACACGGCCCAAACUCCUACGGGAGGCAGCAGUGGGGAAUAUUGCACAAUGGGGGAAACCCUGAUGCAGCGACGCCGCGUGAGCGAAGAAGUAUUUCGGUAUGUAAAGCUCUAUCAGCAGGGAAGAUAAUGACGGUA
rnacentral:rRNA from 1 species